rnacentral:rRNA from 1 species
UGGCUCAGAACGAACGCUGGCGGCAGGCUUAACACAUGCAAGUCGAACGCACCGCAAGGUGAGUGGCAGACGGGUGAGUAACACGUGGGGAUCUGCCCAAUGGUACGGAAUAGCUCCGGGAAACUGGAAUUAAUACCGUAUGUGCCCGCAAGGGGAAAGAUUUAUCGCCAUUGGAUGAACCCGCGUCGGAUUAGCUAGUUGGUGUGGUAAAGGCGCACCAAGGCGACGAUCCGUAGCUGGUCUGAGAGGAUGAUCAGCCACACUGGGACUGAGACACGGCCCAGACUCCUACGGGAGGCAGCAGUGGGGAAUAUUGGACAAUGGGCGCAAGCCUGAUCCAGCCAUGCCGCGUGAGUGAUGAAGGCCUUAGGGUUGUAAAGCUCUUUCGCCGACGAAGAUAA